rnacentral:rRNA from 1 species
AAUUUUGGACAAUGGGCGCAAGCCUGAUCCAGCCAUGCCGCGUGAGUGAAGAAGGCCUUCGGGAUGUAAAGCUCUUUCGGACGGAAAGAAAUCGCGCAGGCUAAUACCCUGCGCGGAUGACGGUACCGCCCUAAGAAGCAUCGGCAAACUACGGUACGUCAGCCGCGGUAAUACGUAGGGUGCGAGAGUUAAUCGGAAUUACUGGGCGUAAAGCGUGCGCAGGCGGUUGAUUAAGACAGGCGUGAAAUCCCCGGGCUUAACCUGGGAACUUCGCUUGUGACUGGUCAGCUAGAGUACGGCAGAGGGGGGUGGAAUUCCACGUGUAGCAGUGAAAUGCGUAGAGAUGUGGAGGAACACCGAUGGCGAAGGCAGCCCCCUGGGCCGAUACUGACGCUCAUGCACGAAAGCGUGGGUAGCAGACAGG